rnacentral:rRNA from 1 species
AGUGAACGCUGGCGGCAGGCCUAAUACAUGCGAGUCGAACGGCAGCACAGCAGAGCUUGCUCUGUGGGUGGCGAGUGGCGGACGGGUGAGGAAUACGUGGGAAUCUGCCCAGUCGUGGGGGAUAACGUAGGGAAACUUACGCUAAUACCGCAUGCGCCCUUCGGGGGAAAGCCGGGGACCUUCGGGCCUGGCGCGAUUGGAUGAGCCCACGUCGGAUUAGCUAGUUGGCGGGGUAAAGGCCCACCAAGGCGACGAUCCGUAGCUGGUCUGAGAGGAUGAUCAGCCACACUGGAACUGAGACACGGUCCAGACUCCUACGGGAGGCAGCAGUAGGGAAUAUUGGACAAUGGGCGCAAGCCUGAUCCAGCCAUGCCGCGUGAGUGAAGAAGGCCCUCGGGUUGUAAAGCUCUUUUGUCCGGAAGAAAGCGCCGGGUUAAUACCCUGGUGUCCUGACGGUACCGGAAGAAUAAGCACCGGCUAACUUCGUGCCAGCAGCCGCGGUAAU